GACGAACGCUGGCGGCGUGCUUAACACAUGCAAGUCGAACGGAAAGGCCCUGCUUUUGUGGGGUGCUCGAGUGGCGAACGGGUGAGUAACACGUGAGUAACCUGCCCUUGACUUUGGGAUAACUUCAGGAAACUGGGGCUAAUACCGGAUAGGAGCUCCUGCUGCAUGGUGGGGGUUGGAAAGUUUCGGCGGUUGGGGAUGGACUCGCGGCUUAUCAGCUUGUUGGUGGGGUAGUGGCUUACCAAGGCUUUGACGGGUAGCCGGCCUGAGAGGGUGACCGGCCACAUUGGGACUGAGAUACGGCCCAGCCUCCUACGGGAGGCAGCAGUGGGGAAUAUUGCACAAUGGGCGGAAGCCUGAUGCAGCAACGCCGCGUGCGGGAUGACGGCCUUCGGGUGGUAAACCGCUUUCGCCUGUGACGAAGCGUGAGUGACGGGAAUGGGUAAAGAAGCACCGGCUAACUACGU
rnacentral:rRNA from 1 species